GACGAACCGUGCGAACGUUGUUCGGAAUCACUGGGCUUAAAGGGCGCGUAGGCGGGCGAUCAAGUCCGGGGUGAAAUCUUUCGGCUUAACCGGAAAAGGGCCUUGGAUACUGAUCGUCUCGAGGGUGGCAGGGGCAUGUGGAACUUCCGGUGGAGCGGUGAAAUGCGUUGAUAUCGGAAGGAACGCCGGUGGCGAAAGCGACGUGCUGGACCACUUCUGACGCUGAGGCGCGAAAGCCAGGGGAGCAAACGGG
rnacentral:rRNA from 1 species